UACGUAGGGUGCAAGCGUUAAUCGGAAUUACUGGGCGUAAAGCGUGCGCAGGCGGUUAUGUAAGACAGUGUGAAAUCCCCGGGCUACACGAGGACUGCAUCUGUGACUGCAUGAGCGGUAGAGGUACGGGUAGAGGGGGAUGGAAAUUCCGCGUGAGCAGUGAAAUGCGUAGAGUAUGAGCGGGAGGAACACCGGAUGGACCAGAAGGCA
rnacentral:rRNA from 1 species